rnacentral:rRNA from 1 species
CAGCCGCCGCGGUAAUACGAAGGGGGCUAGCGUUGUUCGGAAUUACUGGGCGUAAAGCGCACGUAGGCGGAUACUUAAGUCAGGGGUGAAAUCCCGGGGCUCAACCCCGGAACUGCCUUUGAUACUGGGUAUCUCGAGUCCGGAAGAGGUGAGUGGAAUUCCGAGUGUAGAGGUGAAAUUCGUAGAUAUUCGGAAGAACACCAGUGGCGAAGGCGGCUCACUGGACUGGUAUUGACGCUGAGGUGCGAAAGCGUGGGGAGCAAACAGGAUUAGAUACCCCCGUAGUCCCUGUCUCUUAUAC